rnacentral:rRNA from 1 species
AUUGAACGCUGGCGGCAGGCCUAACACAUGCAAGUCGAGCGGAGCGGCGGACGGGUGAGUAAUACCUAGGAAUCUGCCUGGUAGUGGGGGAUAAAGUCCGGAAACGGGCGCUAAUGCCGCCUCCUAUCAGAUGAGCCUAGGUCGGAUUCGAUAGUGGGUGGGUGAAAGGCCUACAAAGGCGAAGAUCCGUAACUGGUCUGAGAGGAUGAUCAGUCACACUGGAACUGAGACACGGUCCAGACUCCUACGGGAGGCAGCAGUGGGGAAGAUUGGACAAUGGGCGAAAGCCUGAUUCAGCCAUGCCGCGUGUGGGAAGAAGGUCUUCGGAUUGUAAAGUACUUUCAGCGGGGAGGCGUUACCCGCAGAAGAAGCACCGGCUAACUCCGUGCCAGCAGCCGCGGUAAUUC